rnacentral:rRNA from 1 species
AACGUAGGUACCGAGCGUUAUCCGGAUUUACUGGGCGUAAAGCGUGUUCAGGCGGUCUGGCAAGUCGGGCAUGAAAUCUCUGGGCUCAACCCGGAGGGGUUGUCCGAUACUGCUGGGCUGGAGGGCAGCAGAGGGUGGUGGAAUUCCGGGUGUAGUGGUGAAAUGCGUAGAUAUCCGGAGGAACACCAGUGGCGAAGGCGACCACCUGGGCUGUACCUGACGCUAACACACGAAAGCUAGGCGAGCGAACGGG